rnacentral:misc_RNA from 1 species
AGCACUUUAAGACACCUUUUUUAAGCAGAUGAACGUAAUUGACGAAUCUCCGAUGAAAACGAACGAGAGUGCGUCUACGCGAAGGGUCCACUGCGGCGAGCUUAUUAGGAGGGCGUAAAAGCCAAGUUGGCGAUUAGCAGAACCAAUGAAAUACUCUGUCAAAAAAGAAAGGAGACGUCUUUCUGUUCGAAGCUAAACAUAUGGUAAUUUUAAAGUUUUUGUUGUACUGUUUUCGAAUCAAUCGUUUUUGUAAUCGAACACGUGGCCGCCUUUUAUCUCAAAGAUCACAGAGAAGCUUGUUUGAAGAGGACUCGGUCUCGUAAACAGCACGUUCGAAACUGUGAUCCAACUGAACAGGUCAUAACACUGCUCUUGAAAAAAAAAACAAACAGUGCAUUUCAAGAAGAACUCCGACGCUGGAAGUAACUACGACAUGAUUUUAAACUGGCUUUAACUAAGACAAACGUUGAUGAUCUUGGUGUGGAAAUCCAUCAAUGUUUCACACAAGCGUUUCGGGUGCAUUAUAUAAGAAACAUCGUAUCUCUAACAAUAACAAAAACCAGCGAAAAUCAAUUUCCGAUUAUCCCAGAACUUCUAUUGGGUCUACAAACGACCGGCGGGUGAAAGGGUCAUUUGCUUCUACCAACGACAGGCGUUUGACGAUCAACGUGAGUGGAAUUAAGUUCCAAACGUGGCAAAGUACACUGUUGCGCUUUCCUGACUCUCUGUUAGGAAGCAUCGAUACGAUGCAGCAAUUCUACGACGCGCGACGGAAGGAGUAUUUUCUUGAUCGAGACCCAUAUCUGUUCAAGUUUGUACUGAAUUACUACCGUUACGGCAAGCUUCAUUGCUCGCAAGAAGACUGUCCCGCGGCUUUCGAGGAGGAAUUGCAAUUUUACGGGUUUUCAAUUUACGAUGUAAACAAUUGCUGCUGGGAUCAUUGCAGUCCAAAAGAGAAAGGAGUUCUCGUCGAAGGCGACAAUGACGAACUUAAGGGGGAAUAUUUAAAUUGCAACGGCAAUUUAUGCGACUUACAUUGCGAACCAAAACUCACUCUUAAGCAGAAGAUUUGGCGAACCAUAGGCCCUUCGAAGACGACUAAUACUGGAGUGAUAUUCCACAUAAUUUACGGGUUUUUCAUAUUUGUAAGUGUUUUAAUAGCUUCAUUGGAGACACUGCGUUGCGGGGAAACAUCGACGUGCGGAGAGGAACACCACCAAAUAUUCUUCACCAUUGAGUCAAUAUGUGUCAUCAUUUUCACAGCUGAGCUCUUGAUUAGGUUCUACGUUUGUCCGCAAAAGAAGAAAUUUAUGUUAGACGCAAUGAACGUAAUCGAUUUAUUAGCAAUAGUUCCUUACUAUUUAACUCUGGUAGUGGAAAGUUUUGGUGGGGAGACAAGUUUUCUGCAGAUACUUAAGGUGUUAAGAGUGAUUCGUAUUCUGAAACUCACCCGGAACUCUCGAAGACUUCGGUGCCUUUUGUUGACUUUACGGCGAUGUGCUGUCGACAUCGUCUUCCUCUACUGCAUCUGUUUCUUGGCGAUAAUCUUAUUUGGAACAGCGAUUUAUUAUUUAGAACUCGCGGAGGGGGAUCCGCAGUUUUCAAGUAUUCCAGAAUCAUUUUGGUACAUCUGUGUCACUCUCAUGACUGUGGGUUACGGGGACGUCGUGCCGUCAUCGAUUCUUGGUAAGAUAGUUGGUUCCAUUUGCUGUGUUUCUGGAGUAGUUUUACUUGCGUUGCCGAUUCCAAUCCUGCAAGAAAAACAAGUACCAUGCACGUUGGAAUCUGUGACAGCAAGAAGGAAGCGGAGGCCUGGUGAAAAGACAAAUGUGGAGUGCGCAACCUGUUUGGAGGAAAAGCGCUGUUCACUAAGGGAGAUCUUUAAAGAAAGAAAUUCUUUAAUUUCAUAUUAGAGAGAGCGAAAACAGCUAUAACGUGUACUCGAAACGUUAGCCAUACUAUAGAUAGAUUCCAUAUUGCCGUCCGUGGACAAACAAAAAAUCAAAUGAACAGAACAAUAGCUGAGCACGUGCACUUUAGAACUUUGUACAUUUAGUUUUGUACCUCAGCUUUGUACUUCGGCCAAACCUGUGUUGGACCCUCUCCUCAUUGUUUAAAGUUCCUUAGAAAUCACAUAGGACGUCGAAAUGUGGUAAAAACAUCAGUUUCCCUUUUCUGUUUUUAACCACAUUUUGACGUCAUCUGUGACCUGUUACUGACCAGACGCAGGGCAACAUGGGAUAUUUUUGUUCAAUAUACAACCAAGCUGAAAAGCUGGCUAAAGCUAAGAGGAGAUUUGCGUUAAUUACUUAAAGCAUUCGCCAAAUAAUCGGGUAACGUCAAAACCAGGGAACCCUUGAGAGAAGUAAUGGUCAUGACUUUGACCAACCAACUGGAAAGCUAGUUUAAGCUUUCUGAGGAAAACCAUAGAGAAAAGCACCAGGGAAAAGAACCAGUUAGUAAAGAUGUCACACAGAAUUAUACAAAACCGCAGGUGGAAAGGGGCGAGUUGGAAGUGGGGCGAGGGGGAGUUGGAGAGGGGCGAGUUGGAAGUGAGGCGGGGAGGGUGCUAAAAGGCGAAUGUGUACUUCAAUUGGAUUAAUUUGAUUAAUUACUUCAUUUAAGUGUUUAAGUUUCGAGUUUCGCGCUGAAGAGGGAUUGAUUAACAACCGCCUAGAUGAAUACAAAUGUUCUGGGAAAUUGUGGAAUAAAACAGCUCUUGGAGCAACAGGCUGGAAAAAUGCUCUUUCAGACACCUUCCCUUUCUCAUUUCUUUGAGUAUCAGGCAGCAGUGAGAACAGAGUAUGCAAUGGUAGCGGUGGUGGGCCAGUGAAAAAGGGGGAG